GAUCACAUUUCUUUCUUUUCCUUUUGGUUCACUACUGAUCUCAUCUGAUCUCAGAAGCUAAGCAGGGUCAGGACUGGUUUAGUACUUGGGUGGGAGAACGCCUGGAAAUACCAGCUGCUGUAGGCU
rfam:Loxodonta africana unplaced genomic scaffold scaffold_7, whole genome shotgun sequence.